rnacentral:rRNA from 1 species
UACGUAGGUGACCAGCGUUGUCCGGAUUUACUGGGCGUAAGGAGCGCGCAGGCGGUCGUUCAAGUCGAGUGUGAAAGCCCCCGGCUCAACUGGGGAGGGUCACUCGAUACUGAUCGACUCGAAGGCAGGAGAGGGUAGUGGAAUUCCCGGUGUAGUGGUGAAAUGCGUAGAUAUCGGGAGGAACACCAGUGGCGAAGGCGACUACCUGGCCUGUUCUUGACGCUGAGGCGCGAAAGCUAGGGGAGCAAACGGG